rnacentral:miRNA from 2 species
UUGGACUGAAGGGAGCUCCCA